GAUGAAGAACGUAGCGAAAUGCGAUAAGUAAUGUGAAUUGCAGAAUUCAGUGAAUCAUCGAAUCUUUGAACGCACAUUGCGCCCGCUAGUAUUCUGGCGGGCAUGCCUGUUCGAGCGUCAUUUCAACCCUCAAGCCCAGCUUGGUGUUGGGGAUCGGCACAGGCGCCCUCGGGCGCCCGCCGUCCCCUAAAUCUAGUGGCGGUCCCGCUGCAGCCUCCUCUGCGUAGUAGUUUUCUCCUCGCAAGGGCAGCUCGGUGGCGACCUCGCCGUAAAACCCCCAACUUCUGAAAGGUUGACCUCGAAUCAGGUAGGAAUACCCGCUGAACUUAAGCAUAUCAAUAAGCGGAGGA
rnacentral:misc_RNA from 1 species